rnacentral:rRNA from 1 species
UACGGAGGGGGCUAGCGUUGUUCGGAAUUACUGGGCGUAAAGCGCACGUAGGCGGCUUAUCAAGUCAGGUGUGAAAGCCUUGGGCUUAACCCAAGAAUUGCGCUUGAUACUGAUAAGCUAGAGGAUGAUAGAGGAAAGCGGAAUUCCUAGUGUAGAGGUGAAAUUCGUAGAUAUUAGGAAGAACACCAGAGGCGAAGGCGGCUUUCUGGAUCAUAUCUGACGCUGAGGCGCGAAAGCGUGGGGAGCAAACAGG